GACGAACGCUGGCGGCGUGCCUAAUACAUGCAAGUUGAGCGCUGAAGGUUGGUACUUGUACCAACUGGAUGAGCAGCGAACGGGUGAGUAACGCGUGGGGAAUCUGCCUUUGAGCGGGGGACAACAUUUGGAAACGAAUGCUAAUACCGCAUAAAAACUUUAAACACAAGUUUUAAGUUUGAAAGAUGCAAUUGCAUCACUCAAAGAUGAUCCCGCGUUGUAUUAGCUAGUUGGUGAGGUAAAGGCUCACCAAGGCGAUGAUACAUAGCCGACCUGAGAGGGUGAUCGGCUACAUUGGGACUGAGACACGGCCCAAACUCCUACGGGAGGCAGCAGUAGGGAAUCUUCGGCAAUGGACGAAAGUCUGACCGAGCAACGCCGCGUGAGUGAAGAAGGUUUUCGGAUCGUAAAACUCUGUUGGUAGAGAAGAACGUUGGUGAGAGUGGAAAGCUCAUCAAGUGACGGUAACUACCCAGAAAGGGACGGCUAACUACGUG
rnacentral:rRNA from 1 species